rnacentral:lncRNA from 1 species
GGCAACCCGCUCCGGUGUCCUUCCAUGCUGUGGAGGCUCUGUUGUUUCGCUCUUUCUACUGCUUACUCUUCGGGUCCACACUGCUUUUAUGAGCUGUAACACUCACCCUGAAGGUUUGCAACUUGACUCCUGAAGCCAGCAAGACCACGAGCCCCAGGGAGGAACGAACAACUCCAGACGCGCUGCCUUAAGAGCUGUAACACUCACCGAGAAGGUCUGCAGCUUCACUCCUGAGCCAGCGAGGCCACGAACCCACCAGAAGGAAGAAACUCUGAACACAUCCGAACAUCAGAAGGAACAAACUCCAGACGUGCCACCUUAAGAGCUGUUAACACUCACCGCGAGGGUCCGCGGCUUCAUUUUUGAAGUCAGUGAGACCAAGAACCAACCAAUUCGGGACACAAUACCAACUCUUUCAUGCCAGGAGAAGCCUCCUUAAAAAAUUUCGGUGAUUAACAGCAGCACAUGGGUCAAAAUCUCCUGAAAGUUGAGCAGGGGAGCUGUAGAAGAAUUCCUCCUUUUCUCGCAGAUGAAAUCUUAUGAUAUAGCAGGGGUUACCUGGCCAAGAAGGAACACAGAGGAGAACAAAGAAAAUUCAAGGAACUAAAUUCCUUCUCCACCUCAACCACCAGCAUUGAUACUCCAUCACUUAUGUACUGCAUCAAGCCGUCCUCAGAGGUGAGGAAGGUGCUGUCAAGACUAGAAGCAUGUGUCCCUCUCUCCAUUGCAAGAUGGGACAUAGAGAGGAGAAAAGUGGCAGACAGAAGGCUAAUCUCAACUGGAAACCAGAAGGCUAGAAAUCUUACUGAUGUGAUGUCCAGGGAUACAGAGCAUAUGAAGGAUGCAGAGAGUGGGUCAAAUGGAAGGAAUGUAGCAAAACAUGUAAACUUGAAGAGUUAUUUCAAAACAGCUUUCUCCUCCUUAAGCUCCUUCAUUGGUAAAGAAACAUCACAAAAACGUUUUGAGUCAUUCAAUUCACUUUGUAAUCAGGUCUCCAGUGCCAUAAACUGUGAGUACUUGCUAAUUUGCCCCUGAAGAUUUAUUCAUGAGAUAUUUUUCCUGAAUUUACCCCAUUUGAUCUUGUCCUUUUUUUCCUCGACAAGCCAAAUACAUCUGUUCUGUUAAAGUGCCUGUACCUGUUAAGUGUUUGUAUUAUGGGGAAAAUCCUCCCUUAAGACUCCUUCAAUUAAUACAUCUAUGACUACUUUUCUGCUUUUUUGUUCCCCUUUCCUACUCUUCUUUCCAUUUAUUUAUUUUUAUUCUUUAAAUAAAUUUUUUCUCUGCAAGUCCUCAAGGCAGUACUCAAUAAUAUAAAGGGUAUAUAAUUAAUUGGUAGGACUGUCAGAAUUUAACAAAUUUCUUCCAAUAUUUUCUUCCAUAGAAUACUCUUCUCUUCCUCACUCUUUAAACUCUUACUCCCAGGAACUCCCUUCUGAUGGGAAAACGAUGUUCCAAGAAACCUAAAAUGACUUUCUCUGGCUCUCACUGCUAUUUCAGUUGCACAGCUGGGAUUAGAUCUCUGGAGCUCUGAUUUACAAUUAGGCAAUUUAACCUCAAUUCUAUCCCUUGUAGUAAACAGUAAAUAAGACCCAUAUUUCACUUGAAUAUUCUAAUCUGAAAAGAAUAACAUGCCUGAUAUUCUUUCCUUGAAACACUUGGUUUAUAAAAACAUGGAAAGGAUUUUCUAUUCUGAGUGAAUGUGUCAGCAGCUCUGAGAUGACAGCUGAUAAAUUGUCCUUUGAAAUCAUUAAAAAUGCUGUUAAAAAUGUAUAUUUGACAUCUUAAUAUGAAAAUGACAAAAUAAAAUGCUGUGUUCCUGCUUGUCUACC